rnacentral:rRNA from 1 species
CCUACGGGGGGCUGCAGUGAGGAAUAUUGGUCAAUGGCCGUAAGGCUGAACCAGCCAAGUAGCGUGAAGGAAGACUGCCCUAUGGGUUGUAAACCUCUUUUAUACGGGGAUAAAGGUGUCCACGUGUGGAUGUUUGCAUGUACCGCAUGAAUAAGGACCGGCUAAUUCCGUGCCAGCAGCCGCGGUAAUACGGAAGGUCCGGGCGUGAUCCGGAUUGAUUGGGUUUAAAGGGAGCGUAGGCCGGUCUUUAAGCGUGAAGUGAAAUUUUGUGGCUCAACCAUGAGAGUGCGGCGCGUACUGGAGAACUUGAGUGUGAGGAAGGCAGGCGGAAUUCGUGGUGUAGCGGUGAAAUGCUUAGAUAUCACGAAGAACACCGAUAGCGAAGGCAGCAUGCUGCAGCGUUACUGACGCUGAAGCGCGAAAGCGUGGGUAUCGAACAGGAUUAGAUACCCUAGUAGUC